GGCGCGCGUGCUUGGCGCGCGCCUGCGGGUCCUGACGGGCGCUGAGGGAGCUGAGCGGCGCCUGUGGCUGCUGGGUGUCAGGCGCUGGGAGGGCAGGUCGAGUCUCUUGCUGCUAAGCCCAAUCAGCAUGAUACCAUCCAUGUAUUUGCCCAACAUAAAUUUCUGUGGAAUAAAGAGAUGAUCAAGUACCUGUAAUAGGGCUGCAGAGUUGAUGUAUCCAUAAGACGGGGUCCCCUCCCGUCCGUGCCCAGAACCACCAGUUUUAUCUCUCCCAAUUCACGAACACACACCUCUGUCCUGCCAAGCUGUCUCUUUCCACCUGUGGAGAUUUUUCUGCCACUCCGCAGCCUGCAUUCCCGGACGUUCCAAGUGUUCUGACCUCAAUACAGCUGUGUUUGAGGGAGGAGGGAAAUUGUGGUUCCCUUACUUCUCUGCCAUCUUAACUCCUGGUGUCAUGUGAGUUUUAAAAAAAAGCUAUGUUACUAUGUGAAUGAACCAUGAAAACACUGCUUGAUAAAAUAAUCCAGACACAUGAGAUAACACAUUUUUUAUUCCAUUUAUAUGAAAUACCUAGAAUAGGUAAAUCCAUAGAGACAUAAAGUAAAUUGGUGAUUGUGAAGACUAGGAAUAGGGGAAAUGAGGAGUAACUACUAUUGGGUAUGAGGUUUCUUUGUGGAGUAAUGUAAAUGUUCUAGAAUUAUAUAGUGGUGGAUGGUUGUACAACUUUUGAAUAUGCUAAAAAUUGCUGAAUUUUACACCAGAAAGGGUGAGUUUUAUGGGGUGUGAAUUAUAUCUCAAUAAAGCUGUUAUAAAAACUCA